AGUGUCUAGUGCCUAUAUAGAACAUAUAGUAAAAAUAACUGUGGUCUUAGGCCUGAUAUAGUGGAAAAUGUCAGAAAGUAAAUUGUCAAUAUUUUUGUUAUUUUUCAAUCUACAUGGCUGAAAUUUUGACAGUGAAUGGCUGGUAGGCAUAGAAAUCUGUACCUAAAAACCUGAAAUGAGAGCGCUCGGACAAUGUGAAGUUUGUCGCAUAGACGGGGAUUGACCGCCUUUGUACAUAUAUGUCUACAGCUUCUCAGAUUUGACCGAAGACAGUUGUUCGGUGUUGUGAAUGGAUGUUGUUCGGCCGAAGGCCUUCCAGUCACACAGAAGAUCCUGGUUCGGUCACACGAAGGGUCACUUCCAUUGAUAUUAGUCACAGGAAAAAUUAGGAGCACCAGUUGUAGUUUCUCAGGUUAAUAUUUAUUAAGGUUUUUCCUGAAAUUAAGCCAGU